GAUGAAGAACGUAGCGAAAUGCGAUAAGUAAUGUGAAUUGCAGAAUUCAGUGAAUCAUCGAAUCUUUGAACGCACAUUGCGCCCGCCAGUAUUCUGGCGGGCAUGCCUGUUCGAGCGUCAUUACAACCCUCAGGCCCCCGGGCCUGGCGUUGGGGAUCGGCGGAAGCCCCCUGCGGGCACAACGCCGUCCCCCAAAUACAGUGGCGGUCCCGCCGCAGCUUCCAUUGCGUAGUAGCUAACACCUCGCAACUGGAGAGCGGCGCGGCCACGCCGUAAAACACCCAACUUCUGAAUGUUGACCUCGAAUCAGGUAGGAAUACCCGCUGAACUUAAGCAUAUCAAUAGGCGGAGGA
rnacentral:misc_RNA from 1 species